GGUUGAUCCUGCCAGUAGUCAUAUGCUUGUCUCAAAGAUUAAGCCAUGCACGUCUAAGUACGAACUUUUGUAUAGUGAAUCUGCGAAUGGCUCAUUACAUCGGUCAUAAUUUACUGGACGAGUUACUUCUACUUGGAUAACUGUGCCAAUUGUAGAGCUAAUACAUGCGAGAAACCGCUCCUUCGGGAGAGGUGCUUUUAUUAGAUCAAACGCCAACGGCACUUCGUGCCCGCUUCUGGCGAAUCGUGAUAACUCUAGCAUAUCGCACGGCUUCACGCCGGCGAAACGUCCUUCAGGUGACUGCCUUAUCAGCUGUCGAUGGUAGUGUAUUGGACUACCAUGGCUUUAACGGGUAACGGGGAAUUGGGGUUCGAUUCCGGAGAGGGAGCCUGAGAAACGGCUACCACAUCUAAGGAAGGCAGCAGGCACGCAAAUUACCCAUUCCCGAUUCGGGGAGGUAGUGACGAAAAAUAACGAUACGUGGUACUCAUUCGAGGACCCGUAAUUGGAAUGAGUACAAUUUAAAUCCUUUAACGAGGAUCUAUUGGAGGGCAAGUCUGGUGCCAGCAGCCGCGGUAAUUCCAGCUCCAAUAGCGUAUAUUAAAGUUGUUGCAGUUAAAAAGCUCGUAGUUGGAUCUUGGAUACGGGUAUCGCGGUCUGAGCAGCGUCUCUGUACUGCGAUCGCCCUGUCUGUUUUUUCGGCAGCUCCUUUGUGCCCUUAACUGGGUGCAUCGGUGCACCGGAGCGUUUACUUUGAAAAAAUUAGAGUGUUCAAAGCAGACACGUUCGUCCGCAUNAUUUUGCAUGGAAUAAUGGAAUAGGAGUUGGACUCUGUUUCGUUGGUGUUAUGAGUCUAACUAAUGAUUAACAGGGACAGACGGGGGCAUCGGUACCUCGUAGGGAGAGGUGAAAUUCUUUGAUCUACGGGAGACCAACUACUGCGAAAGCAUUUGCCAAGAAUGUUUUCAUUAAUCAGGAACGAAAGUCGGAGGUUCGAAGGCGAUCAGAUACCGCCCUAGUUCCGACCAUAAACGAUGUCAACUAGCGAUCUGCCNGCGUUAAUUAUAAGACCUGGCAGGAAGCUUCCCGGGAAACCAAAGUCGGAUUCCGGGGAAAGUAUGGUUGCAAUAUUGAAAUUUAAAGGAAUUGACGGAAGGGCACCACCAGGAGUGGAGCCUGCGGCUUAAUUUGACUCAACACGGGAAACCUCACCAGGCCCAGACACGGGAAGGAUUGACAGAUUGAGAGCUCUUUCUUGAUUUCGUGGGUGGUGGUGCAUGGCCGUUCUUAGUUGGUGGAGCGAUUUGUCUGGUUAAUUCCGAUAACGAACGAGACUCAGUCCUACUAUUUAGAAUCAUCACUC
rnacentral:rRNA from 1 species